rnacentral:rRNA from 1 species
GUGGGGAAUCUUGCGCAAUGGGCGAAAGCCUGACGCAGCCAUGCCGCGUGAAUGAUGAAGGUCUUAGGAUUGUAAAAUUCUUUCACCGGGGACGAUAAUGACGGUACCCGGAGAAGAAGCCCCGGCUAACUUCGUGC